rnacentral:rRNA from 1 species
UUCCGUAGGUGAACCUGCGGAAGGAUCAUUAGUGAUUGCCUUUAUAGGCUUAUAACUAUAUCCACUUACACCUGUGAACUGUUCUACUACUUGACGCAAGUCGAGUAUUUUUACAAACAAUGUGUAAUGAACGUCGUUUUAUUAUAACAAAAUAAAACUUUCAACAACGGAUCUCUUGGCUCUCGCAUCGAUGAAGAACGCAGCGAAUUGCGAUAAGUAAUGUGAAUUGCAGAAUUCAGUGAAUCAUCGAAUCUUUGAACGCAGCUUGCGCUCUCUGGUAUUCCGGAGAGCAUGCCUGUUUCAGUGUCAUGAAAUCUCAACCACUAGGGUUUCCUAAUGGAUUGGAUUUGGGCGUCUGCGAUUUCUGAUCGCUCGCCUUAAAAGAGUUAGCAAGUUUGACAUUAAUGUCUGGUGUAAUAAGUUUCACUGGGUCCAUUGUGUUGAAGCGUGCUUCUAAUCGUCCGCAAGGACAAUUA